UAAGCGGAGGAAAAGAAACCAACUCGGAUUCCCCUAGUAACGGCGAGUGAAGCGGGAAGAGCUCAUGUUGUAAAUCUGGAUGAGGGUUCCUCGUCCCGAAUUGUAGUCUAGAGAUGCGUGCUCAGCUACUCUCCAGGGCUAAGUCUGUUUGUGAAAGACAGUGUCAUGGACGGUGAUAACCCGGUUCUUGCCUUGGAUGUUGUAGCGUUUUGAGCCGUCCUCAACGAGUCGAGUUGCUUGGGAUUGCAGCUCUAAGUGGGUGGUAAAUUCCAUCUAAAGCUAAAUAUUGGUGGGAGACCGAUAGCGAACAAGUACCGUGAGGGAAAGAUGAAAAGAACUUUGAAAAGAGAGUUAAAUAGUACCUGAAACUGCUGAAAGGGAAGCGAAUGAAGUCAGUGUUGCUCUUUGUGCUCUGCAUCCUCCCUGCGGGGAUUGUGUAUCGAGGACUUUGAGCUUGUCAGGAUGAGUUCUCUGCCGCGGGAUAUGUUUUGUAUGCUGGAUGCUUUUUGCGGAACAUACAUUCUCUGUCGUGGCUUGGACUGAGGUUCCAUCUUGCCGUUGCCUGUGCGUUCCUCUCCCGUUGCUGUCUCUGUUCUACUGCUUGCAGUGCUCAGUUGCAGUAGUUGGACUGUGCGUAUUAUGCAUGCAAGGUCAGGAUCCUGACGAAAUGGCUUUAUUUACCCCGUCUUGAAACACGGACCAAGGAGUCUAACAUACGUGCGAGUACUUUGGUGACAAACCAAUGUGCGCAAUGAAAGUAAAGGCUGGCUUCCGUCAGCUCAGGUGGGAUCCGUUUGGAGCACCAUCGACCGACCAUUAUGCCUUCGGGCUAAAGGUUUGAGUGUGAGCAUUUAUGUUGGGACCCGAAAGAUGGUGAACUAUGCCUGAAUAGGGCGAAGCCAGGGGAAACUCUGGUGGAGGCUCGUAGCG
rnacentral:rRNA from 1 species